UUCGGACGUGAAUUGAGGCGAGAACCGCGUUAAUCGAAACGGCUUGAACCGGGCAAAAGUCGUAACAAGGUUUCCGUAGGUGAACCUGCGGAAGGAUCAUUA
rnacentral:rRNA from 1 species